AAGUUACAGUUGCCUCUUUCAGAGAAACUACUCUAUGUGGCUUUAAACUCUCUGGACAAAACAGAGUAAUGGCUGCUCAGUCCACAAGAGUGAAAUCCCCAGUGAACUUCAAGGAAGGGCUCAUUCUGCAGAUGAUCCCCAUUUCCAAGAUUAAGAAGACUAUCAUAACCUGAACUUUUUUUUUUUUUUCUGGUGCACAUUUGAAUGUGAGGUGUUGGACACCAUGUAAGGUGUUGGACAAACCAUAAUGACAACAAAGAACAGUCAUAGAGGGGAAUCGUGUUUUACAAUAGAGAUGGAAGGCAGCUUUCCAGAGAACAAAGAAAUCAACAUCUUCGAAUAUUUUCUCCAGCCUGAAACAGCUGAAGAAAGCUAAAAGCUCCAGCAACAGGAACAUUUAUUCAGAAUCAGAAUGGAAGAUCUGGUACUUUUCUGUACAUUAAAAAAGAAGAAAGUUCAAUUUUCCUUCUGAAAAGCACAAGAAAGACCAUUUUGUGAGAUGUAAAGACACAGAGAAAAAGGGACUGAAUUCCCAAAAUAUUUGAUGGCAGAAGUAAUAAUAGCAAUGAAUGAGGACACAUAAAUGAUUCAUGAGACUCAUUUUUUUUCCUAUUGUUACUAAAAAGAGGCUCAUUAUUACUCAGAAAAAAAAGCUUUGUUGGUGAUGUAAAAAGAAAUCAGUAUUUGCUAUCAAUUACUUUCAUUAACACUGAGCCUUUGUACACAGUUUUAGAAAUAUAUUUUAUAACAAUAUAAUUUUGUAAUUUCAUCCCUACUGUGCUUUCAGCCUUCUGAGGCCCACAAAUCUCUUUAAUACCUCCACUCCUGCUGAUAAUAAAAAGUCUUGUGGGUGUAGUAACA
rnacentral:lncRNA from 1 species